CAGCAGUAGCCGCGGGAAUACGUAGGUGGCAAGCGUUGUCCGGAAUUAUUGGGCGUAAAGGGCUCGCAGGCGGUUUCUUAAGUCUGAUGUGAAAGCCCCCGGCUCAACCGGGGAGGGUCAUUGGAAACUGGGAAACUUGAGUGCAGAAGAGGAGAGUGGAAUUCCACGUGUAGCGGUGAAAUGCGUAGAGAUGUGGAGGAACACCAGUGGCGAAGGCGACUCUCUGGUCUGUAACUGACGCUGAGGAGCGAAAGCGUGGGGAGCGAACAGGAUUAGAUACCCCCGUAGUCCCUGUCUCUUAUAC
rnacentral:rRNA from 1 species